ACGAGGUAGCAUACCUAGUGGCGGACGGGUGAGUAACGCGUGGGAAUCUGCCUUUAGAUGGGGGAUAACGGGUCGAAAGACUCGCUAAUACCGCAUAUGACGAAAGUUGAAAGGAGUAAUCCGUCUAAAGAUGAGCCCGCGUCCGAUUAGCUAGUUGGUAGAGUAAAAGCCUACCAAGGCGACGAUCGGUAGCUGGUCUGAGAGGAUGAUCAGCCACAAUGGGACUGAGACACGGCCCAUACUCCUACGGGAGGCAGCAGUGGGGAAUUUUACGCAAUGGGCGAAAGCCUGACGUAGCGACACCGCGUGAGCGAAGAAGCCCCUUGGGGUGUAAAGCUCUGUCAGCUGGAACGAAAAAAAUGACGGUACCAGCAGAGGAAGCAUCGGCUAACUACGUGCCAGCAGCCGCGGUAAGACGUAGGAUGCAAGCGUUGUCCGGAUUUAUUGGGCGUAAAGAGUUCGUAGGUGGUUUGUUAAGUUUGGUGUUAAAGAUUGGGGCUCAACCCUGAAACUGCACUGAAUACUGGCAGACUCGAGUGUGGUAGAGGCUAGUGGAAUUCCCAGUGUAGCGGUGAAAUGCGUAGAUAUUGGGAAGAACACCGGUGGCGUAGGCGACUAGCUGGGCCAUAACUGACACUGAGGAACGAAAGCCAGGGGAGCGAAUGGGAUUAGAUACCCCAGUAGUCCU
rnacentral:rRNA from 1 species